UCAGGAUGAACGCUGGCGGUAUGCGUAACACAUGCAAGUCGAACGAAGUUUUUCGGAACUUAGUGGCGGACGGGUGAGUAACGCGUGAGAAUCUGCCUUAAGGAUUGGGACAACAGUGGGAAACCGCUGCUAAUACCAAAUAUGCCUUUUAGUGAAACGGGUAAAACCGCCUUAAGAUGAGCUCGCGUCUGAUUAGCUAGUAGGUGUGGUAAGAGCGCACCUAGGCGACGAUCAGUAGCUGGUCUGAGAGGACGACCAGCCACACUGGGACUGAGACACGGCCCAGACUCCUACGGGAGGCAGCAGUGAGGAAUUUUCCGCAAUGGGCGAAAGCCUGACGGAGCAAUACCGCGUGAGGGAGGAAGGUUCUUGGAUUGUAAACCUCUUUUUUCAGAGAAGAAUAAUGACGGUAUCUGAGGAAUAAGCAUCGGCUAACUCCGUGCCAGCAGCCGCGGUAAUACGGAGGAUGCAAGCGUUAUCCGGAAUGAUUGGGCGUAAAGGGUCUGUAGGUGGUUGUUCAAGUCUGCUGUUAAAGCGUCUGGCUUAACCAGAUAAAGGCGGUGGAAACUGAACGACUAGAGUGCGGUAGGGGUAGAGGGAAUU
rnacentral:rRNA from 1 species